GAUGAAGAACGUAGCGAAGUGCGAUAAGUAAUGUGAAUUGCAGAAUUCCGUGAAUCAUCGAAUCUUUGAACGCAAAUUGCACUCUCUGGCAACCCGGGGAGUAUGCCUGUUUGAGGGUCAGUGUUAAUAAAAAUCGGGUUCGUUGCAAUUUUUGUGACGUUUCCGGAGUUUGAGUUAUCUUAACUUCGGUUUUAAGAGGCUUAAAAUUGACCUUUUUUUGUGCAUUUUAGACGUACAUAAAUUUUUUUUUUAUUCGUCCAUCCUAAUGCCAAAAUCUAUUAGAUGCGACCAUAUCUUGUGGUUCCGUGUCUAUAAAUUUUUCAUGAUUUGACCUCAAAUCAGGUAGGAACACCCGCUGAACUUAAGCAUAUCAAUAAGCGGAGGA
rnacentral:misc_RNA from 1 species